rnacentral:rRNA from 1 species
CCUACGGGUGGCAGCAGUGAGGAAUAUUGGUCAAUGGCCGUAAGGCUGAACCAGCCAAGUAGCGUGAGGGAAGACUGCCCUAUGGGUUGUAAACCUCUUUUAUGCGGGGAUAAAGGUGUCCACGUGUGGAUGUUUGCAGGUACCGCAUGAAUAAGGACCGGCUAAUUCCGUGCCAGCAGCCGCGGUAAUACGGAAGGUCCGGGCGUUAUCCGGAUUUAUUGGGUUUAAAGGGAGCGUAGGCGGGCAUUUAAGCCGGCGGUCAAAUGUCGGGGCUCAACCCCGGCCUGCCGUCGGAACUGGGUGCCUUGAGUGGGCGAGAAGUAUGCGGAAUGCGUGGUGUAGCGGUGAAAUGCAUAGAUAUCACGCAGAACCCCGAUUGCGAAGGCAGCAUACCGGCGCCCUACUGACGCUGAGGCACGAAAGUGCGGGUAUCGAACAGGAUUAGAUACCCCUGUAGUC